rnacentral:rRNA from 1 species
GACGAACCGAGCGAACGUUGUUCGGAAUCACUGGGCUUAAAGGGCGCGUAGGCGGGCUGUCAAGUCUGGGGUGAAAUCCCACGGCUCAACCGUGGAACUGCCUUAGAUACUGACGGCCUCGAGGGAGAUAGGGGCGAGCGGAACUGUGAGUGGAGCGGUGAAAUGCGUUGAUAUUCACAGGAACUCCGGUGGCGAAGGCGGCUCGGCUGGAUCUUUCUGACGCUGAGGCGCGAAAGCUAGGGGAGCAAACGGG